UACGUAGGGGGCAAGCGUUGUCCGGAUUUAUUGGGCGUAAAGAGCGUGUAGGCGGCCAGACAAGUCUGCUGUUAAAACUCGAGGCUCAACCUCGAGCUGUCGGUGGAAACUGUCUGGCUAGAGUCCGGAAGAGGAGAGUGGAAUUCCUGGUGUAGCGGUGAAAUGCGCAGAUAUCAGGAGGAACACCGAUGGCGAAGGCAGGUCUCUGGGCCACUACUGACGCUGAGAAGCGAAAGCAUGGGGAGCGAACAGG
rnacentral:rRNA from 1 species